GACGAACGCUGGCGGCGUGCCUAAUACAUGCAAGUUGAGCGCUGAAGGUUGGUACUUGUACCGACUGGAUGAGCAGCGAACGGGUGAGUAACGCGUGGGGAAUCUGCCUUUGAGCGGGGGACAACAUUUGGAAACGAAUGCUAAUACCGCAUAAAAACUUUAAACACAAGUUUUAAGUUUGAAAGAUGCAAUUGCAUCACUCAAAGAUGAUCCCGCGUUGUAUUAGCUAGCUGGUGAGGUAAAGGCUCACCAAGGCGAUGAUACAUAGCCGACCUGAGAGGGUGAUCGGCCACAUUGGGACUGAGACACGGCCCCAGCUCCUACGGGAAGCAGCAGUAGGGAAUCUUCGGCAAUGGACGAAAGUCUGACCGAGCAACGCCGCGUGAGUGAAGAAGGUUUUCGGAUCGUAAAACUCUGUUGGUAGAGAAGAACGUUGGUGAGAGUGGAAAGCUCAUCAAGUGACGGUAACUACCCAGAAAGGGACGGCUAACUACGUG
rnacentral:rRNA from 1 species